rnacentral:snRNA from 20 species
AUACUUACCUGGGCGGGGUAUAUCAUUGAUCAAGAAGGACGAUGGCCUAGGACGAGCUGACCCAUUGCACCAAGGCUUGGCAA